GACGAACGCUGGCGGCGUGCUUAACACAUGCAAGUCGAACGGAAAGGCCCUGCUUUUGUGGGGUGCUCGAGUGGCGAACGGGUGAGUAACACGUGAGUAACCUGCCCUUGACUUUGGGAUAACUUCAGGAAACUGGGGCUAAUACCGGAUAGGAGCUCCUGCUGCAUGGUGGGGGUUGGAAAGUUUCGGCGGUUGGGGAUGGACUCGCGGCUUAUCAGCUUGUUGGUGGGGUAGUGGCUUACCAAGGCUUUGACGGGUAGCCGGCCUGAGAGGGUGACCGGCCACAUUGGGCCUGAGAUAGGGCCCAGACUCCUACGGGGGGCAGCAGGGGGGAAUAUUGCACAGUGGGCGGAAGCCUGAUGCAGCAACGCCGCGUGCGGGAUGACGGCCUUCGGGUUGUAAACCGCUUUCGCCUGUGACGAAGCGUGAGUGACGGUAAUGGGUAAAGAAGCACCGGCUAACUACGUG
rnacentral:rRNA from 1 species